UACGGAGGGUGCGAGCGUUGUCCGGAAUCACUGGGCGUAAAGGGCGCGUAGGCGGCCUGAUAAGUAGGGGGUGAAAUCCUGCGGCUUAACCGCAGGGCUGCCUUCUAAACUGUCAGGCUAGAGCACAGUAGAGGCAGGUGGAAUUCCCGGUGUAGCGGUGGAAUGCGUAGAGAUCGGGGAGGAACACCUGUGGCGAAAGCGGCUCACUGGACCAUAACUGACGCUGAUGCACGAAAGCUGGGGGAGCAAACAGG
rnacentral:rRNA from 1 species